rnacentral:lncRNA from 1 species
UGGACCAAUACAUAAACACAGUGAAAACGGACUAAUACACAAACACAGGCCAUCUUUAGGUGUGGGUCAUUCCAGGGUUUUAUGGACUCAUUUUAUUUGUUCAGUGUUUGCUGAUUUGCAUCAGUCUCUACCUAUGGGUGUGUCCAGGCUGAGACAGAGCUGGGACUGACUGAUUCUUCUGGGGCUAGACCUAGUUUCCUUCCUCUCCUAUCCCCAGCAGUUGUCUCUGUAGGGGUGGAGGGAUUUUCUUUUUUUUUGUGGUUGUGUAUGGAGAGAAAUGGUUUUGGAGUUUUGUUUUGUUUUGUUUUGUUUUGUUUUCUGGAGCACAUAGGUGGGACAAGAGGGGAGACCCCACCUGGCCUGAAGAAUUGGAUUUUGGCCCUGGUGAAAGAGGAAAUGGAGCAGAGACUGCCUGAAUGAAGUUAAGAAAAUGCCUGGGGAGACUCUGAGCUGAAGGAGGCGGCCCAUGUUGGGAUCCAGGGCCAAUAUAGCAUCAGAUGCAUCGAACUCACAGAACAUCGCUCCCCAGCUGCCGGCCCACAGUUCUGAGAGUGCCUGAAUAGAAAACCACUCAUUUCCCUUCGCAAUAGAGGCGCCCAAAGCAGAUAUGUCAAUAUAUUCCAAUUUAGCCGAGGGAAGCCAGAACAUGGAUGUUGUUGCCAAGGAAACCACCUCCUUCCUCCUGUGUGCCGUGCAUACGUGUAUCACUUCAUCUCUCUGCUCUCCAAGGAGGAAGAUGACAAUGACUGUGGAAGCAGAAGGUUGUCAUGGAAAUGCACCUGUUCCAAGUCGUUGCACUCUGGGCUCUGGGCUGGCUCUGCAUGGUCCUACCAUGCACUGACUUCAGCUUCACCUGGGUCAGCGGGAGGCUGGACAAAGGUAGACAUCUUUCCUCACUACCAGCCUGCCAUUGUGGCUUUCUGUUGCCGGUGUGAACAGACACUCAAGCUUUCCUGGUCUCCUGAGCUACUGUGAAUAUGGCACAAGAUAGUGGACUCUGAAUAACAUUGGAAACAACUACUUCCUGGAUGGCCGCUGAGUGCAAGGCCUGAGGGAGGGUGAGGGCAAGAGGACUGAUGGUUACUGGACAUCUUCAUGACCAGGCUUCUGUGUGUCCUCUCACUUAAUCCUCCAACAGCACUGUGAGGAAAAUAGAGCAUCCCACCUCACAGGCGAGGAAGCUCAAGUUGAAGGACUGUUAAGUUGUCCGCUCUGAGCCUCACAGCCGGGUGGUGACAGCCCCAGGAUUGGUGGCCAGGGUUU